AGUUUAGCCUGCAAACCCCUUAAUAUUGCCAUAAUAUCAUCUUACCACUGAUGCUGCAGAAAAUGAGACAGUCAUGUUUUGUCUUCAGAUUCUUCCUUCAAACCCAGAAUUGCAGUCUUCAACAUAUUCACAUGGCUUUGGUGAAACUGGUUUCACAAACACUGCAAAAAUCAGUCUCCUCGUGCCUGCCAUCUCCUAUUAUUUCUUGGGCCAAUGGAGAGGUGUUUUUCCCUCCUGUUUCUGCAAUGGCUUGGUGAUGGGAAGCAUACCCCAUCUGAUAUCUAUCUUC